CCCCUUCUACAUACACUUUUUAAUUUAAUAAAAAAUAUUCCAUUAUGUAAGCAAUACAUAUACAAUCUGUAAAUUAUGCUUUUAAUGUGUAUCUCAUAAUAUUGUGACAUUUUACUAAUUGAUGUUUUAUUGUCUAUUUUCAGUCGGUGUUCGACCUUGACUUUAAUAAUAGGUUGACCCAGUUUCACCUGUGAUGAAUUUAAAUGCCACAUGAAGUUCACAAUUGGUUUGAUAGAAAAUUUAUGUGAUAGUGGAUAUGUAAAAUUUCGUAAUCCAUGUGUUAUAGGAACUUGGAACCUGCACGUAUUAUUCAUGGAUUUACCUAGGAUUACUAGAACUGUGUGAACACGUGUUACUAUAUAUGGCCAGUCGUUGGCUAAAAAUAGAAUUGGACUUUCCCUUGCUAUAAAUCUUGUACAUAGCGAAGACUUGUGAGACAUACUAUCACGUUUUCAGUGAAUAUUUUGAUUAUUUUCAGUUGGAAAAAUAUAUAUUGGAAAAAGUGAUUAAUUAUUAACUUCACAUCAAGAAUUAUAUUUCUGCCAGAAAAAGCAGAUUCUAU
rnacentral:lncRNA from 1 species